CAUUUUCCGUUUCUCUUUUAAUUUGGAUGAUGUGUUGCUGCAUAUAUGAGGAGUUUGUGGGUAAUGUAAAUGACGAACCCUAAUCUUUCUCCGCCGUUCAUCUCACGCCAUUGUCCUUCACCUCACUUCGCUGCCAGUUAUUUCCUCACUAUCAUUCAUCCCCUCAUCGCUUCUCAUCUCCUCGCCGCUACAAGAAACGCUAUUGUUGUUGCCUUCAUCGAGCUUCUAUCUGGUUCUCGAUUUGGCUUCUCAUCCCCUCGCGACACCUAUCAACAUCGUGCCGCAGCCUUCAAUGAGUGUCUACGAUCUUGUUCUGGCUUCGAUCUGAAGGUUAGCCAUCGCUUAUCAUCUCCUUGCUGCUCUGUUUAUCACCUCACCUCCGCAGGCAACAUUGUUACUGCCAUUAGCGAGCUUCUGCGAUUUGGUGCUGCCUUCUGUGUAACUUCCGCGAUUACGUCCUCGCUCUCACUGUCGAGAACUUCCUUGAGCUCCGCCUCCAGACUCUCAUCUUCAAGUUCGGCGCGGCCAAGUCAAUCCACCACGCCAUGGUCCUCAUUCGCCAGCGCCACAUAGAUGUGCUACUCCAGCUUCAUCAAGAUUUGCCAAUAAUAACAAUAAUAAUGAUGCACUAGUUCCAGCAACUAAGAAUAUCAAUAGGCCUAGCAUGGUGGUGAAUGUGAAGGUCUUGAAGAAGCUCUUCUCUGUUAACAACUUUCAAAAGAAACCAAGGAGGAGAGUAAGAUAAUUAUCCUUUUCCUGUGGUGAUUUAUGUCAAUUAGGUAUAAAAUUGAUCUUUUAUUCAGGUAUAAAAUUCAAAAGGCUUUUAUUAGUCUUUAGUGAGGGGAUUAAUCUUUAUCACUAGAAAUCUAUGCCUCUUCAAAUGCAAUGUAAAUAUAAAUUAUAGGGAGAAUUUUUCUUUGAUUCAUUGUUACAUGUCACAUAUGUUCCUAUUGGUUCUGUUCUAAUCUCUUUUAGCCAAGCCAAUUAGAUGAAGUUUGAGGCUUUUAAAGUGGCACUAUAAUCUUCUUGUUUUGAUAGGGGAAGGAAAAUAAGCACAAUAAUGUAAUUUUCAUUAUUCAUUUUUUGUUCACUUAUAAGCGUUGAUUUCUCCAUCGGUUAUUUAUGGAUAGUUUCUCAGUAGCUUGUUGCGCUUUUCCUUUAUUCUCUCUUUUAAUUUUGCACUCAGUUACAUCUUGAUUUUCAUCUUGAACCAUAGCAAAUUUUAUUUUAUUUUUGUACCUCGAUUGAUAAAGAGAAAUUCAUUUAAAAUCUGAAAAUGAGAAAAUCUGCUCCAAUUGAAAUCUUUCAUUUGUAUCAUUCGGUUAAUUGGUUAAACUUGUUAUGGUUAGAAUAAACUUAUAUAUGGGGAGAAAGUGCGGGGUUUUAAUUGGAUUAAGGAUGGUUGUAGGGUGAAAUAAGAAUUGAAAAGAACACAGUUUGGACCAAAGAAAAAAUUCCUGGUUUCAUGUAGAUUUGUUUGUGUAAUUGAUGUUUUUGUUUACUAUGUAAUGGUGAGAGUUGUUAAUGUUGUGCAGUUAGAGGAUGGCUGGCUACACUUUCUGUUUCUGGUUUUACAGCUAUAGCUGUAAGAAAGGCUGUGAAGUUAAUCACAUGCACAAAUUGCAAAAGCUUGUGACUUGUCAAAGUUAAUCACAUUUUUACUAAUUGCUACUACUAAUCACUUUUGAUUUCUCAUACUGAGUGCAUAUUAUUAGAUUAGAUUAGAGUGUUAGCUUUGUUCUGUGUAAAAGAGAAAAACCUGACACCACUUUUAUCUCUGUUCAGUGUUGUGACCACGUUCAAUUAACCUCAAAGUCAUGUUCCAUGACAAGGACAACCAUUGAUUCUCGGAACUGUGCCUUUUUAGUUUUUCACCCCUCACCUCACUAUUAUUUCUCUUUCACACUAAAAUACACCACAUGAUAUCACCCAUCAAAAAUGGAUUGCAAGUUUUGCAAUACCACUUCACUUCUUCACACGUAAGACUUGAUUGCAAUCAGAAAUGUAGAAGAAGUAAAUGCAGUGUCAGACAACUCAUUUAUUAUUACUAUGGAUAGAUAGAUUCAUUCAUUAAUUAAGCAAAGAAAAUUUUGAAUUCAAGCUUUCUUUGGUGACCAACACCAAACCCUUUUAUUUUUCCGGUACCAAACAUACCUUAAAUGGCUUUCUUUUUGUUUAGCUUAGUUGAAACUACAUAAUGAACUAGUUAUGUUGUGAAUUUGUUAUUCUUCUUUUAAUAUUGCAGGAUUUUACCUUACAGUUAAUCCAAAGAGUACCUCGAUUGCUUGGGAAAUAAUUAGAAUUGUUAAAAAUGUUGCUUCUCAAUCAUUGGAAGUGAAGAAGCUCAUGUACUUGUACCUCCUUCAUUAUGCUGAAAAGUAUGUACAUGCUGAUUUGAACCGCCUAAGUAGGAAUCAGACACCACUCUAUGAUUUGGAAGGACAAUUUGAAAGGAUAAAUCAGCAUCCAAAUGCAGGGGGUUAUUCUUUCUCCAUAGGUAUUACAGAGGUUCUUAAUACAAACCUUGUGAUAGAAUUAAGUGCCAAAGAUGUAGAGUACGUUUAUCAAAGGUAAGAUUAUUUAUAUGUCCGCAUUUAUUCCCUUUUCAAUCUUGCUAUUAGAAAUUCUUGUGAUUUAUCUUCUAUUUAAUUCUCUAACAAUUUAGACAUUAAUUGAUAUUGUGAUGGAGGUUAAAAGCUUUUUAAUGGAGACAUUAAUUGAUAUUGAUCAAUAGUGAAUAAUAUUUAAUGGAUCCUACAAGUAUUUAUAUAGUGUGUCAAAUCGGUGACAAGUACAAGGAUAUAUGCGUAGUAGGAUUGUUUCUUCAAUUUGAUGAAAGUCAAACUUUGUUUCUUCCAUUUCAUUGAUUAUAGAUGACUGUCCAAUGUCCCUUUUACUUUUAAUAAAUAUAAAACAAUAUGAUAUUUCUCUGUUCUAACUAAGGUUUUAAUAUUUUAUAUUUAUAUGAUUAUAAUUCCUUAAGCAUACAGAUAUAUCUUGAUAGUGAACUUGAUUGCUGGCGGUGUAAGAUAUUUAAAUACCUUCAUCUCAGAGGUUAAACUUCCAAGGGGGUUAUGCUCCUCUUUUGUUUUGUUAUAUCGAUCAAUCACACUAAUUUCAUGCUGACAAAGUCAUCCAAAUUCAAAUUCUAUUAAUUUUGUGUUUCUGGUGACAAAUGUUCAAUAAAAGAAAAUAAUAAAUUAUGCAGAAGUGCAUGUUGAAACACAAUAAUCUUAUAUCAGCAACUGCUAUCGCAUAAUAUAAAUUAGAGGCCAGAUUUGGCAUAGAUAUGUUUAUUGGAGUAAUUUUGUUGCAAACUUGCAACACUUAUUCAUGCCAGGUUUUACUAAUGUUGAUUGCAAUAUAUUAAUUAUUUCGUUUCAUGUAUGAUAUAUUAAUAUUAGUCCUAAUAAAAUCUUUUAUUGAUUUGUGUUGUUAAUAUUAGUCCUAAUAAAACUGUCUCUGGCAUUUCAGGUACUUGAAAUAAUUCUACCAUCGCAUCUCUUAUUUUAUUCAGCAUAUUAAUAAAUAACAUUUAAUUAAUUUGUAGUAAUUAUUCAUUUGUUUAUUUUAUUUUAUUUUUGCAGGGGUUGAAUCAGUAUCUGUGGACAUGAAACCAUAGUAGUGAUCAAUGAUCAUCAUUGAAUCUACAAGCGAUCCGUUUUAUCAUUAUUCACAUUCACAUAUGACAUAGUACUAUGAUUUCUUCAUGGCUUGCUUAAUUCAGACAUGAAUGAUUGAUUCACUGACCAAUUUGGAGCAAGAAACAAAGAUGUUGGAGCAAGUUCUCGGGAUGAAACUCACACAAGAGACCAAAAAACUAUGGCAGGCUUGUUUUAAAGUUAAUUACAAAAGGAGGAAACUUUUGGCCUCCAAAUCUUAUUCAUCAUCACUUAGCUAAGUUACUUAUCUUGUAUAUUCAUAUUCUAAGUAGUAAAAACAGCACUUAUUAGAUGAUUUAAAUAUAUUAUUAGAUAUUAACAUAGUUUAGGGAAGUGGAUGGUAGAGUUGAUUGAUUAGUGUUUAUUGCAAUGCUUGUAUUUUGGUAAGUUUAGUAAGACAAGGUUUUGUAUAAGAGUUAUUACUUUUGAUUUUUAAUAAUAAAAAAUUAUGUAUUAUAUUAAUAUUUUAUU